CUGGCUGAGCUUGGGGCUCAGAGCUCCCUGGGCACAGGUUGCACUUAAGAGGAUUUUUACAAUGGAAAUAAAUCAUUCUGUGAUUCCAGAAAAAGCCCCUGGUCUAAGGCCCAGGGUGAGCCAAACAAUCUCACCUGCCCACCUGGUCAGAAACUGAUAAAGAUUGAACUGGAUUCAAGUUAAACAAAGAUGGAACAAGUAACAAUAUUUAAUCAGAGGUUUCUUUGAAAGCCUUCCAAAACUUUGAACACAGGUUCCCUCCAGACAAAACAGAACAAAUUCAAAGCCAGGAGAGUUCCAAAGCACCUGAGUUUCUGUGACUUCACAUCUCUCUCAGUCAGCUGAGUGCCCAGAACAGAGAGAUGUCCCAGCCCUGAGGAACCUGCAGGUCAGGGAGGAUUUUUGAGCAGCAAGAAGCUGGAAAUGGUCUAAUUAAGAGCUUACCCCCAUCUCAGGUAGGGAAGAUUCUUUUUUGUGGAGGGGAUUUCUGAGCUCUCAGUGCUUCCAAGAGAAGCUGGCAAAGCCUUCCCUCUCCAUCUCACCCUGCAGGCCCCAGCACUGCCUACAGAGCACAGGAGAGAGCUCUGGAACUGCCUCUGCAGCUGAAUACAAUAUCCAUUAUUAG